GUAGGGAAUAUUGGACAAUGGGCGAAAGCCUGAUCCAGCAAUGCCGCGUGUGUGAAGAAGGCCUGCGGGUUGUAAAGCACUUUCAGUUGGGAAGAAAAGUGUUUGGCUAAUAACCAAGUACCUUGACGUUACCAAUAGAAGAAGCACCGGCUAACUCUGUGCCAGCAGCCGCGGUAAUACAGAGGGUGCAAGCGUUAAUCGGAAUUACUGGGCGUAAAGCGUGCGUAGGUGGCUAAGUAAGUCAGAUGUGAAAGCCCAAGGCUUAACCUUGGAAUUGCAUUUGAUACUGUUUAGCUAGAGUACAGUAAAGGGAAGCGGAAUUCCUAGUGUAGCGGUGAAAUGCGUAGAUAUUAGGAGGAACACCAGUGGCGAAGGCGGCUUCCUAGACUGAUACUGACACUGAGGUACGAAAGCGUGGGGAGCAAACAGGAUUAGAUACCCUUGUAGUCC
rnacentral:rRNA from 1 species